rnacentral:rRNA from 1 species
CAAGGCGACGAUGCGUAGCCGACCUGAGAGGGUGAACGGCCACACUGGGACUGAGACACGGCCCAGACUCCUACGGGAGGCAGCAGUAGGGAAUCUUCCGCAAUGGACGCAAGUCUGACGGAGCAACGCCGCGUGAGUGAUGAAGGUUUUCGGAUCGUAAAGCUCUGUUGCCCUAGACGAACAGCAAGGCGAGUAACUGCGCUUUGUGUGACGGUAUAGGAGAAGAAAGCCCCGGCUAACUACGUGCCAGCAGCCGCGGUAAUACGUAGGGGGCAAGCGUUGUCCGGAAUUAUUGGGCGUAAAGCGCGCGCAGGCGGUUAAUUAAGUUGGGUGUUUAAGCCCGGGGCUCAACCCCGGUUCGCAUCCAAAACUGGUUGACUUGAGUGUAGGAGAGGAAAGUGGAAUUCCACGUGUAGCGGGUGAAAUGCGUAGAGAUGUGGAGGAACACCAGUGGCGAAGGCGACUUUCUGGCCUAUAACUGACGCUGAGGCGCGAAAGCGUGGGGAGCAAACAGGAUUA